CCUACGGGUGGCAGCAGUGAGGAAUAUUGGUCAAUGGACGAGAGUCUGACCCAGCCAAGUAGCGUGAAGGAUGACUGCCCUAUGGGUUGUAAACUUCUUUUAUAAAGGAAUAAAACGAGGCACGUGUGCCUUUUUGCAUGUACUUUAUGAAUAAGGAUCGGACAAUUCCGUUCCAGCAGCCGCGGUAAUAUGGAGGAUCCGAUCGUUAUCCGGAUUUAUUGGGUUUAAAGGGAGCGUAGGCGGAAGGUUAAGUCAGCGGUAAAAUGUCGUUGCUCAACACCGGCCUGCCGUUGAAACUGGUCAUCUGGAGUGAGCGAGAAGUAUGCGGAAUGCGUGGUGUAGCGGUGAAAUGCAUAGAUAUCACGCAGAACUCCGAUGGCGAAGGCAGCAUACCGGCGCUCAACUGACGCUGAGGCACGAAAGCGUGGGGAUCGAACAGGAUUAGAUACCCUUGUAGUC
rnacentral:rRNA from 1 species